rnacentral:rRNA from 1 species
UAGGGAAUCUUCGGCAAUGGACGAAAGUCUGACCGAGCAACGCCGCGUGAGUGAAGAAGGUUUUCGGAUCGUAAAACUCUGUUGGUAGAGAAGAACGUUGGUGAGAGUGGAAAGCUCAUCAAGUGACGGUAACUACCCAGAAAGGGCGGCUAACUACGUGCCA